rnacentral:rRNA from 1 species
CCCUACGGGGGGCAGCAGUGGGGGAUAUUGCACAAUGGGGGAAACCCUGAUGCAGCGACGCCGCGUGAGCGAUGAAGUAUUUCGGUAUGUAAAGCUCUAUCAGCAGGGAAGAAAAUGACGGUACCUGACUAAGAAGCCCCGGCUAACUACGUGCCAGCAGCCGCGGUAAUACGUAGGGGCAAGCGUUAUCCGGAUUUACUGGGUGUAAAGGGAGCGUAGACGGCAGUGCAAGUCUGAAGUGAAAGGCAAGGGCUCAACCCUUGGACUGCUUUGGAAACUGUGCUGCUGGAGUGUCGGAGAGGCAA